UCGCAUUCUGGUGAGGGCACAGACAGGAAAUAAACAAACUGAUAAACCAAUAGUUUCAAAGAAUAGUAGUGCUAUGAACAAAAUAAAACCAGUUCAUAAGAACAGAGAGUAGCUGGGGGCGGGGGGCAACAUCGAAGUUAUUUCAGGGCACAAGGGGAGCCUGCUCAGGGCAGUUCUAGCAGAAGAGUGUUCCACCUGGAGGGGACAGGUUGGGCCAAGAUCCUGCGGGGGGAACAAGCAAGGAGGCCAGUGGUUGGAGCCCAGGGAGCAAGGGAGUAUGGGAAGAGGUGAGGACCACCCAGGGCCUUAAAGCUGCAUCAGGAUUUUGGAUGUGUUUUAAGUGCAACAGGAGGACACUUGGGAGUGCCUGGGGGGCUCAGUACGUUGAGUAUUCAAGUUUGGCUCAGGUCAUGAUAUCACAGUUCCUGAGUUCGAGUCCCGCAUCGGGCUCUGUGCUGACCCCCUCGGAGCCUGGACCCUGCUUCAGAUUCUGUGUCUCCCUCUCUCUCUCUGCCCCUCCUCCACUCACACUCUGUCUCUCUCUUAAAAAUAAACACUAAAAAUUAAAAAAAAAAGGAAGACAUUGGAGAGGGUAAGCAGAGAAGUGAUGUGAUAAUGCCUUAAAAAAUUGUUCUGGCUGCCACGCAGAGGGUGGGCCAGGGGGGCAAGGAGGGAAGGAGGAGAUCACAUUCAGAGAGACAGAUGACGGUGGGCAGAGAGCAGACGCACUAUGGAGGCAGAGCCCCUGCCUUGUGGGAUUCCAUGCGGGAGACAGAGUGAGGAAUCUGGGUGACUCGGGGCUUGCAGCUGGACUGGCUGGUGGGCUAGUUACUGAACGGGGAAGACCUGAGAUGAAGCUGGUAGACUGUGACUCGGGGUCUGUCUGGACCUUCUUUCGAGCUGCCUUUUAGACUCCCAGGUGGGAAGAUCACAUGCCAGACCCUCCUGGCUGUCAGUUCUGAGGCGGGGACCUGUCCAUCCCGUUUACCAUUUUAUCCCCAGCCCUAGAGCAGGGCCAGCCGGACCUAAGGUGGGCUCUCAGUAGAAAUAUGGUGGGUCACGGGCUGAGAUGGGCUGAUCAUGCACCUGUACUUCCACUAAUUUUUUUGGCCCCCAGAUAUAAUAACAGGACAUACUCUACAGAGGUAAUAGCGGGCCAGAUCCACAGAAAUGCUAAAGCAGUGGUUGUCGGAGCAUGGUCCCCAGACCAGCCAGCAUCAGCCGCACCUGGACAUUGUUACAAAUGCAAAUUCCUAGGCCCCUCCCCACACCCACAGAGUCAGAAACUGUGGGAGCGGACGUUAAAGCCACAAGGCUGCCAGGCGGUUUUGAUGCGGGCUAAACUUUGAAGCUGCUGUCCUAUGGGGCCUAUGGCCUCAUUCUCGGGGUCAUGUAGACUCUAUGCCUGGGAAAAAACAAAACAAAACAAAAGAUGGUUUGGGCCCUUCUUGCUGAAUAGGUCCAGACCACCCUGGGCCAACAUUUAACUGGGCUCUGGGCUCCCCGGACCCCACCCGGACUCCCAGAAUCCUCACACCCAUCCCUCAGCCAUUGUGGUUCUGGGCAGAGCCAGGUGGUGGCGCCAGCGCCUUAGGCUUCAGUCUGGCUUUGGGAGCUAGAGACCCCGGAAGAAUUGUCCCCCUCCCCUGCGCCUUCUUCCCCGCUGGGAGCCUCUGCUCCAAGGCCUGUCCGCUGGCAAAGGCUUUGCAGGAUGGCCUUCAUCAGGGAGAGGGGCUCUGAGGCUGGCACACCCAAGAUGGAGAAACUGAGGCAUGGCCAGUGUAAGUUGCUUGCCCGAGCCCAAGCAGAAUUGGCGUUUGAAACUGGUCUGCCUGCCGCUAUCCGGCCAGUCCUGGCGGUUCUGGAAUCGCUGUUGCCGUUGCUAUUGAAGUUUCUCCCUGAGCUCCUUGCCCGCCGCACUCCCCCCGACCCCACCAGGAAAGGUAUCUGGGUAUCGGUAGCACCGUCUGUGAAAUGGGAUCACUGACGGGCGGAGUUACCACCGGCUCCCGGAGCCAUGCCAGGCUCUGUGCUCAAUACCUUCCAAGUAUUUAUUAGCCCAUCAUUCCUCUGGGUGGCUGCGGGUCAGCCUGGGCUAGAAUCCCAGCUUUGCUGUUCUUGGCAUCCUGGCUUUGGGCGAGUGACUUUACAUCUCAGUGUCACGGUCCAAAACUGGAAAAUGGACGUGAGAACAAUA